CUUCUUUCUUUUUUUUCUUCUCAGAUCUCUUUCAGCUUUUAGCCAUGGAGAAGAUUUACUUGGAUUUAAUCGUGCUGUUUUGUUUGUGAGGAAGGUCGGAUUGCGUCGGAUCUAAGACCCCACACCUCAGUUCAUUGCACCCAAAAAACUCUUAAUUCGGGACUCUCUCAAAACUUGGAGUCUUAACCCAAGACUCUCCUAUAAUCCGAGCAUGGAGUCAAUUCCGCAGAGUUUCUUUUAAGUGCAUCGAAUCUCCAAGAGGAACGAGCAACUUUCGCUUUGGUCCUCCCAUGACAAUCUUUCAUCUACCAGUCAUUCUAUUUUCAUUAUUUUUGCUCACUUGUGUACGUUUGGGUAUAUCCCAGUUUUGGGAUUGUAGGAUAAAUUUAUAGCAGUUAAUACACAGGUUUUAGUUUUAUCAUUUA